AUGUGCAAUCAUUCGAGCAUUAAUGCAUUGGAUCCCAUCAGAAUUUUGCAGCUAAGCGUGCUUGGACAAGAGUGGUACUCGGAUGGGUGACCUCCUUGGAAGUUCUCGUGUUGCACCUC
rfam:Lupinus angustifolius cultivar Tanjil chromosome LG03, whole genome shotgun sequence.